UCCUGGAGCAGUGGUACCCGAAGGCCAGCGCCGAGGAGCACCGGCGGAUCGUGGAGGGGGACAUCAACGAGAUGAAGGGCGCGGUGCUGGAGCCGGACGACAUCGCGAGGGCGGCGCUGUACCUGGCGUCCGACGAGGCCAAGUAUGUCAACGGCCACAACCUCGUCGUGGACGGCGGGUUCACGGUGGGGAAGGCGCCCAACAUGCCGGCACCGGCGCUGUAAAACGAAGCGAGUUCCUGAAAUAAAUUUGCUUCCUACAGUACUAUAUACAUACUACUAGUACGUAGUAUUGUAUUGCGCCGGAAGUAGAAUCACCGAGCAUUACGUUUUUGUUUCAGGAUUGAAACAACGAAUUGUCCUCGAUGCCGAGUAGUACAUGCACACGUUGACCCCAUGCGGAAAUACUCCCUAGAUGAGAGCAGCCCGAUUGUUCUUGUUAUCUUUGUGGCUACUCACUGUCGUGCAAUUCUGUGCCUCUAUGCGCCUGUGUUGCUUGCACGUAAUUCCCAUCGUGGCUGAUGUAGCCCCAUGGAGCUAGGCUCCCACUCUUUUAACUCCUUCGGUUAACUUGUAUGACAUCAUACUGUUUUUUUACGGCUAUAAAAUGACUGUGUUCAUCAUACGAUACAGAGGUCGGGGGUCCACCCUCCUUUUCGGAAAAAUUAGGUUGUUCGCUCUAUAAUGCUUGCUAGAAAUAAUUGUGUAGGUUUAACAUAACCAGGAUCUUAAUAAUCUCCUAGUUGAAACAUCUACGGAAGAUUAGAGACAAAUCAUAUUUAGCAUAGGGAAAAACCCAUGGCAUGGACCUUGGGUCUCUGUCAGUGAGUUGAUCGGAUAGACAUGUAUGACGUCACUGGCACCGACCUGAAGGUUCCCGUAGUGGUGAGCAGUCUUAUGUUUUCUUCGGAGCGUUCUUUAGGAUCCGUGGUUUGGAGAUAGGGUUCUACUCAUUUGUGUAUACAUGUUCCAAGGGGGCACAACNNNNNNNNNNNNNNNNNNNNNNNNNNNNNNNNNNNNNNNNNNNNNNNNNNNNNNNNNNNNNNNNNNNNNNNNNNNNNNNNNNNNNNNNNNNNNNNNNNNNNNNNNNNNNNNNNNNNNNNNNNNNNNNNNNNNNNNNNNNNNNNNNNNNNNNNNNNNNNNNNNNNNNNNNNNNNNNNNNNNNNNNNNNNNNNNNNNNNNNNNNNNNNNNNNNNNNNNNNNNNNNNNNNNNNNNNNNNNNNNNNNNNNNNNNNNNNNNNNNNNNNNNNNNNNNNNNNNNNNNNNNNNNNNNNNNNNNNNNNNNNNNNNNNNNNNNNNNNNNNNNNNNNNNNNNNNNNNNNNNNNNNNNNNCAAGGACCGAAACCAAAAUUGUUCAUUAUCACCUCCGAUCACGAUGCAUCCAUAUGUGGGGUGGGGCGAGCCACAUCCUUUACUUUUGCUCUCGGUUGUUUGCCAAGAUCAAACCCCAACAGUUUCCCCAUUCUUGUUUGUAAGAUUAGCAAACAUCAUAAGCCCACUCCGGUAGAAACACACACCAAAGAGUAGUGUUACAAUAACCAAUGAAAUUCCAUUGAACCUAUGUACUUAUAGUACACCAUACCAUCUUGGAAUAUUAAACAUAGUGUGUUUGAUUCUAACGUAAUCAUAGAAGAAUGAGUGGUAAACCAUUAGCAGAACCUCAAAACUUUAUUAAAAGGGCAUCGUAUAUUUGACUCUAAAAUCUAUCUUUCACAACAAGAAACAUAAUCUCAAUGAUUAUUCGCAAUCCAAAUUGACUUGUUGUUACGUGCAUAGAGAACAUCGAAGGACGCCUAAAGCCCUAAAUGGGCAGUGUUGAUGACGUGUGAUUUAUUGUGACUAACUUUUAAUCGAGUGAUCUGCAUACACAUAGUCCAAAAAAUAAAAAUGUGUAGAUGCGAGCCCCUCCCCCAACCCCACAUCAAAAACGAAAAAGGUGUCGAUGCAUUUUAUGUUUCUGGAGUUUUUUCUUAUUUGAGUAAUUUGAAAUCCACACUAUAAAGAGGGGGUUGUGGUGCUUCAAGUUGGUGGGUCAUGAACAACAUAUACAUGUCGUAUCCAUCACAAGCAGUCAAGCGAUAGCCUAGCAACAUGAAAAAACAAGUGAUUUUCCCUUUGGGCAGGUCGAGGCAAAACCCAUAACUCCGGGUCUGAUCUCCGGGUUAUGUGGUUUCACUCCUUGAUGUCCAGGAGUUGAAAUCCGAAAAUCCGGAUUUGAUCUUUGAGUUCAGUAGUUUAGCCUCUAGACGGUCGGGAUCUUCAAAUUAUGUAGCUAGAACUCCAGGUUUGCCUAUUUCCGUGAGGAAUUCAUCAUGAUCUGCCUUCUAGAUUGGAUGAGCUGCCAAACAAGAUUAUGAUCAUCCAUGUAAUUCUUAUGGUGGAUCUUUUGUUUAUAAGUUGAUUAAUUCCAUAGGUUAUUGUUAUAUUUUUUGCGAGAUUGAUUGUAGAUACAUGUUGGGUCUCCUUUCUAAUAGUCCGCUCCUGGCUAGUUUAGAUGUGGGAGUGAUAGAGGGAACAAUGUGGAUUGAGUGGAAAAGAUCAAAGUAUGGGAACUAUGCCGGAUGACAACUAGAUUUGUCUCUCUUUUCUUAAUCUUGAACCGUGUUUCAAAUUUAUGAUUGAAAUUUUAUGAGAUUGUAGAUACAAUUUUUGUCUAUGUACUCAAAUGUUUCAAAAAAAAUUGAAGCCCUUUUAGUGGCGUUACCGCAAGCAUGAUAGUUCCAAAGGGAUGGUACGACUAGAUUAGUUUAUUUUACAUUUGCAUGCAUUAGUGAGGAGGCAAGUAAAACAUGGCAAGUGAUGACCAACACCCGGCCAUUCGCCAAGGAUUUCGCUACAAAUUGACCGUUAGAGUUUUUAGCAUGGCAAACUGAACGUUUUUCAUGGCAAAUUAUGUUGUCGCGAGGAUGACAAUGUCCUCUGACAAGCAUGGCAAAUCCUUGUCUUGUUCAGUUUUUACCACGAUGUGUCAUGGUUGCUAAAAAAAUUGUCAUCCUCGCAUCAACAUAAUUUGCCAUAAAAAUGUUUGGUUUGCCAUGCUUAAAAAUCUGACACCAGAUGGUUAACAUUUCCGUUCGCAAAUAUCUCAAUACAUUACUGGUUUCCUUUUUUUGAAGCUUUUGAUAUUUAUUCACUUUACAUUGCACAAUUAAUGUCAAACUAUCAUGCAAGAGUUUGAUGAAUAAAUCAAAGGUUUUCUAAAAAAUAGAUUCCCUCAUUUUACAUUUUUUUGAGUGACCCCUCGUUUUACAUCUGCAUGCAUUAGUGAGGGGUUUUGCUACACCUGUUUAUUACACGCUGAAGAGUGUUACGUAAAGACUUGAUAGUUUUUAACAGGAUAUUAGUGGAGGUGUCCUACCUCUUGAGCAUGCGUUGGUUUUCUCUUGAAGAGGAAAGGGUGAUGCAGCAAAGUGGCGUAAGUAUUUCUCUCAGUUUUUGAGAACCAAGGUAUCAAUCUAGUAGGAGACUACACGCAAAUCCCUAGUACCUGCACAAACAAAUAAGAACCUUGCAACCAACACGAUAAAGGGGUUGUCAAUCCCUUCACGACCACUUGCAAAAGUGAGAUCUGAUAAAGAUAAUAAGAUAAAUAUUUUGGUAUUUUUGUUGUAUAUAUUGAAAAGUAAAGAUUGCAAAAUAAACGGCGACAGAAAUAGCACGUUGGUGGGAGAUUAAUAUGAUGGAAAAUAGACCCAGGGGCCAUAGGUUUCACUAGUGGCUUCUCUCAAGAUAGUAAAUUCUACGGUGGGUGAACAAAUUACUGUCGAGCAAUUGAUAGAAAAGCGCAUAGUUAUGAGAAUAUCUAGGCAUGAUCAUGUAUAUAGGCAUCACGUCCGUGACAAGUAGACCGAAACGAUUCUGCAUCUACUACUAUUACUCCACACAUCGACCGCUAUCCAGCAUGCAUCUAGAGUAUUAAGUUCAUAAGGACAGAGUAACGCAUUAGGCAAGAUGAUAUGAUGUAGAGGGAUAAACUCAAGCAUUAUGAUAUAAACCCCAUCUUUUUAUCCUCGGUGGCAACAAUACAAUACGUGCCUUGCUGCCCCUGCUGUCACUGGGAAAGGACACCGCAAGAUUGAACCCAAAGCUAAGCACUUCUCCCAUUGCAAAAAAGAUCAAUCUAGUAGGCCAAACCAAACUGAUAAUUCGAAGAGACUUGCAAAGAUAUCAAAUCAUGCAUAUAAGAAUUUAGAGAAGAAUCAAAUAUUGUUCAUAAAUAAUCUUGAUCAUAAACCCACAAUUCCUCGGAUCUCGACAAACACACCGCAAAAAGAGUUACAUCGAAUAGAUCUCCAAGAGAAUCGAGGAGAACUUUGUAUUGAGAUCCAAAGAGAGAGAAGAAGCCAUCUAGCUAAUAACUAUGGACCCGAAGGUCUGUGGUAAACUACUCACACAUCAUCGGAGAGGCCAUGGUGUUGAUGUAGAGGCCCUCCGUGAUCGAUUCCCCCUCCGGCGGAGCGCCAGAAAAGGCCCCAAGAUGGGAUCUCACGGGUACAGAAGGUUGCGGCGGUGGAAAAAGUGUUUCGUGGCUCCCCUGGAUGUUUUCAGGGUAUAAGAGUAUAUAUAGGCGAAGGAAGUAGGUCGGUGGAGCUACGAGGAGCCCACGAGGGUGGGGGCGCGCCCUCCUACCUCGUGGCCGCCUCGUGGCUUCCUUGAAGUCCACUCCAAGUCUCCUGGAUUGCGUUUGUUCCAAAAACAAUCCUCGCGAAGGUUUCAUUCCGUUUGAUAUUCCUUUUCUGCGAAACACUGAAAUAGGCAAAAAAAAUAGCAAUUUGCACUGGGCUUUCGGUUAAUAGGUUAGUCCCAAAAAUAAUAUAAAAAGGUACAGUAAAUCCCAUUAAACAUCCAAAACGGAUAAUAUAAUAGCAUGGAACAAUCAAAAAUUAUAGAUACGUUGGAGACGUAUCAAGCAUCCCCAAGCUUAAUUUCUGCUCGUCCUCGAGUAGGUAAAUGAUAAAAACAGAAUUUUUGAUGUGGAAUGCUACCUAACAUAAUUUUCAAUGUAAUUCUCUCUAUUGUGGCAUGAAUGUUCAGAUCCAAAAGAUUCAAGAUAAAAGUUUAAUAUUGACAUAAAAAUAGUAAUACUUCAAGCAUACUAAUCAAGCAAUUAUGUCUUAUCAAAAUAACAUAGCCAAAAAAAGCUUAUCCCUACAAAAUCAUAUAGUUUGGCCAUGCUUCAUUUUCGUCACACAAAAUGCUCCCAUCAUGCAUAACCCCGAUGACAAGCCGAGCAACUGGUUCAUACUUUUUAACGCGCUUCAGACUUUUCAACUCUUACGCAAUACAUGAGCGCAAGCCAUUGAUAUAGCACUAUAGGUGGAAUAGAGUAUGAUGAUGGGGGUUAUGUGAGAAGACAAAAAAGGAGAAAGCCUCACAUUGACGCGGCUAAUUAACGGGCUAUGGAGAUGCCCAUAAAUUGAUUCCCAUGCAAGGAGUAGGGAUUGCCAUGCAACGGAUGCACUAGAGCUAUAAGUAUAUGAAAGCUCAUCAAAAGAAACUAAGUGGGUGUGCAUCCAACUUGCUUGCUCACGAAGACCUAGGGCAAGCCCAUCAUUGGAAUAUACAAGCCAAGUUCUAUAAUGAAAAAUUCCCACUAGUAUAUGGAAGUGACAAAAUAAGAAACUCUCUAUCAUGAAGAUCAUGGUGCUAUUUUUAAGCACAAGUGUGGAAAAAGGAUAGUAACAUUGUCCCUUCUCUCUUUUUCUCUCACAUUUUUUUUGUUUGGGCUUCUUUGGCCUCUUUUUUUAUUUGGGCUUCUUUGGCCUCUCUUUUUUUCAUCAUUCUUUCCUCACAUGGGACAAUGCUCUAAUGAUGAUCAUCACACUUUUAUUUACUCAUAACUCAAUGUUACAACUCGAUACUAGAACAAAAAAAUGACUAUGUGAAUGCCUCCGGCGGUGUACCGGGAUAUGCGAUGAAUCAAGAGCGACAUGUAUGGAAGAAUUAUGAAAGUGGCUUUGCCACAAAUAUGAUGUCAACUACAUGAUCAUGCAAAGCAAUAUGACAAUGAUGGAGCGUGUCAUAAUAAACGGAACGGUGGAAAGUUGCAUGGCAAUAUAUCUCGGAAUGGCUAUGGAAAUGCCAUAAUAGGUAGGUAUGGUGGCUGUUUUGAUGAAGAUAUAAGGAGGCUUAUGUGUGAUAGAGCGUAUCAUAUCACGGGGUUUGGAUGCACCAGCGAAGUUUGCACCAACUCUCAAGCUGAGAAAGGGCAAUGCACGGUACCGUAGAGGCUAGCAAUGAUGGAAGGGUGAGAGUGCGUAUAAUCCAUGGACUCACAUUAGUCAUAAAGAACUCAUAUACUUAUUGCAAAAGUUUAUUAGCCCUCGAAGCAAAGUACUACUACGCAUGCCCCUAGAGGGAUAGAUUGGUAGGAAAAGACCAUCGCUCGUCCCCGACCGCCACUCAUAAGGAAAGCACUCAAAGAACACCCCAUGCUUCAAAUUUUUCACACAACGUUUACCAUACAUGCAUGCUACGGGACUUGCCAACUUUAACACAAGUAUUUCUCAAUUUCACAAUUACCCAACUAGCAUGACUCUAACAUUACCACCUUUAUAUCUCAAAACCAUUAUCAAACAUCAAAUUUAUCAUAGUGUUUAAUGCAUUCUAUAUGAAAGUUUUUAUUAUACCUAUCUUGGAUGCCUAUCAUAUUAGGACUAAUUUUAUAGCCAAAGCAAAUUACCAUGCUGUUCUAAAGGACUCCCAAAAUAAUACAAGUGAAGCAUGAGAGAUCAAUAAUUUCUACAAAAUAAAACCACCACCGUCUAAAAAGGUAUAAGUGAAGCACUAGAGAAAAUUAUCUAGCUCAAAAGAUAUAAGUGAACCACAAAGAAUAUUCUAAUAAAUUCCGAUUCAUGUGUGUCUCUCCCAAAAGGUGUGUACAGCAAGGAUGAUUGUGAUAAACUAAAAAGCAAAGACUCAAAUCAUACAAGACGCUCCAAGCAAAACACAUAUCAUGUGGUGAAUAAAAAUAUAGCAUCGAGUAAAGUUACCGAUAGACGAAGACGAAAGAGGGGAUGCCUUCCGGGGCAUCCCCAAGCUUAGGCUUUUGGUUGUCCUUGAAUGUUACCUUGGGGUUCCUUGGGCAUUCCCAAGCUUAGGCUCUUGCCACUCCUUGUUCAGAAAUCCAUCAAAUCUUUACCCAAAAACUUGAAAACUUCACAACACAAAACUCAACAGAAAAUCUCAUGAGCUCCGUUAGCGAAAUAAAACAAACCACCACUUUAAGGUACUGUAAUGAACUCAUUAUCUAUUUAUAUUGGUGUUAGACCUACUGUAUUCCAACUUCUCUAUGGUUCAUACCCCCCGAUACUAGCCAUAGAAUUAUCAUAAGCAAACAACACACGAAAAACAGAAUCUGUCAAAAACAGAACAAUCUGUAGUAAUCUCUAUCAAACGCAAACUUCUAUAACUCAGAAAAAUCUGCCAAAAUAGGACGACCCAGAUAAUUUGAUUAUUGAUCUACUGCAAUUGGAAUAAAUAUUUUAUAACUCUCUGGUGAUUUUUAACAAUUGUUUUCGUGAGCAGAAAGUUUCUGUCUUUUUCAGCGAGAUCGAAUAAUUAUCACCCAAGAAGAUCCUAUAGGUUCUACUUGUCACAAACACUAAUUAAAACAUAAAAACACAUCUAACCAGAGGCUAGAUGAAAUAUUUAUUACUAAACAGGAACAAAAAGUAAGGAAUAAAAAUAAAAUAGGGUUGCCUCCCAACAAGCGCUAUCGUUUAACGCCCCUAGCUAGGCAUAAAAACAAGAAUAGAUCUAGGUAUUGUCAUCUUUGGUAUGCAAUCCAUAAGUGGCUCUCAUAAUAGAUUCGUAAGGCAAUUUAAUUUUCUUCCUAGAAAGUGUUCCAUGCCUUUCCUUAAUGGAAAUUGGAAUCUAAUAUUUCCUUCUUUCAUAUCAAUAAUUACACCAAUCGUUCUAAGGAAAGGUCUACCAAGAAUAAUAGGACAUGUAGGAUUGCAAUCUAUAUCAAGAACAAUAAAAUCUACGGGCACAUAAUUCCUAUUUGCAACAAUAAGAACAUCAUUAAUCCUUCCCAUAGGUUUCUUAAUGGUGGAAUCCGCAAGGUGCAAAUUUAAAGAACAAUCAUCAAAUUCACGGAAACCUAACACAUCACACAAAGUUUUAGGAAUCGUGGAAGCACUAGCACCCAAAUCACACAAAGCAUAGCAUUCAUGAUCUUUAACCUUAAUUUAAAUAGUAGGAUCCCACUCAUCAUAAAGUUUUCUAGGGAUAGAAACUUCUAAUUCAAGUUUUUCUUCAUAGGAUUGCAUUAAAGCAUCAACGAUGUGUUUGGUAAAAGCUUUAUUUUGAUUAUAAGCUUGAGGAGAAUUUAACACGGAUUGCAAAAAGGAAAUACAAUCUAUCAAAGAACAAUUAUCAUAGUUAAAUUCCUUGAAAUCCAAAAUAGUGGGUUUAUUGCUAUGUAAAGUUUUGACCUCUUCAAUCCCACUUUUACCAAUUUUUGCAUCAAGAUCUAAAAACUCCGAAUCAUUGGGACGCCUUUUAACUAAAGUUGACUCAUCUCCAGUCCCAUCAUUAUCAAGAUUCGUACUAGAAAACAAAGAUUUAAUAGGAGACACAUCAAUAACUUUUUGAUCUUCAUCAUUGUUAUCAUGAAAACUGGAAGAACACGCUUUCGCAAAGCAAUCUUUUUUAGCACGCAUCCCAGCGGUUCUUUCUUUGCACUCAUCAAUGGAAAUUCUCAUGGCUUUGAGAGACUCAUUGAUAUCAUGCUUGGGUGGAACAGAUCUAAGUUUCAAAGAAUCAACAUCAAGAGAAAUUCUAUCCAUGUUCCUAGCCAACUCAUCAAUCUUAGGCAAUUUUUCUUCAAGCAAAGCAUUGAAAUUCUUUUGCGAAUUCGUAAAUUCUUUAACACUAGUCUCAAAAUCAGAGGGCAUCUUAUUAAAAAUUUCCAUAAGAGUUGUUGUAGGAAUUACCAUAAUUAUUAGAGGAAUUACUAGGGAACGACCUAGAAUUAAAGUUUCCUCUAUAUGCGUUGUUACCAAAAUUGUUCCUACCAACAAAAUUCACAUCCAUAGAUUCAUUAUUAUUCUCAAUCAAAGUGGACAAAGGCAUAUCAUUAGGAUCAGAAGAAACACUCUUAUUAGCAAACAAUUUCAUAAGUUCAUCCAUCUUUCCACUCAAAACAUUAAUCUCUUCAAUUGCAUGAACCUUUUUACUAGUAGAUCUUUCGGUGUGCCAUUGAGAAUAAUUAACCAUGAUAUUAUCUAGUAGUUUAGUAGCUUCUCCUAAAGUGAUUUCCAUAAAAGUGCCUCCCGCGGCCGAAUCUAAAAGAUUUCUAGAAGCAAAAUUCAAUCCAGCAUAAUUUUUUUUAUAAUCAUCCAUAAAUUCAAACCAUGUGUAGGGCAAUUACGUAUCAUUAAUUUCAUCCUCUCCCAAGCUUGUGCAACAUGCUCAUGAUCAAGUUGCUUAAAAUUCAUAAUAUCGUUUCUAAGAGAGAUGAUCUUAGCGGGAGGAAAAUACUUAGAGAUAAAAGUAUCUUUGCACUUAUUCCAUGAAUUAAUACUAUUUUUAGGCAAAGAAGAGAACCAAGUUUUAGCACGAUCUCUAAGCGAAAAAGGAAAUAGCUUCAAUUUGAAAAUAUCAUUAUCCACAUAUUUCUUCUUUCGCAUAUCGCACAAAUCAACAAAGUUGUUUAGAUGGGUAGCGGCAUCUUCACUAGGAAGGCCAGAAAAUUGAUCUUUCAUGACAAGAUUCAACAAAGCAGCAUUAAUUUCUCAAGAUUCAGCAUCGGUAAUAGGAGAAAUCGGAGUGCUAAUAAAAUCAUUGUUGUUGGUAUUAGAAAAGUCACACAAUUUAGUAUUGUCUUGCGCCAUCGUGACAAACAAUCAAUCCAACACAUAAGCAAGCAAAAAGAAGCGAACGGAAAAGGGCGAAUAAAACGGCAAGGGUGAAGUGGGGGAGAGGAAAACAAGAGGCAAAUGGCAAAUAAUGUAAUGCGAGGGAUAAGAGUUUGUGAUGGGUACUUGGUAUGUCUUGACUUGUGCGUAGAUCUCCCCAUGGCGCCAGAAAUCCUUCUUGCUACCUCUUGAGCAUGCGUUGGUUUUCCCUUGAAGAGGAAAGGGUGAUGCAGCAAAGUAGCGUAAGUAUUUCCCUCAGUUUUUGAGAACCAAGGUAUCAAUCCAGUAGGAGACUACACGCAAAUCCCUAGUACCUGCACAAACAAAUAAGAACCUUACAACCAACGCGAUAAAGGGGUUGUCAAUCCCUUCACGGUCACUUGCAAAAGUGAGAUCUGAUAAAGAUAAUAAGAUAAAUAUUUUUGGUAUUUUUUUGUAUAGAUUGAAAAGUAAAGAUUGCAAAAUAAACGACGACAGAAAUAGCACGUUGGUGGGAGAUUAAUAUGAUGGAAAAUAGACCCGGGGGCCAUAGGUUUCACUAGUGGCUUCUCUCAAGAUAGUAAAUUCUACGGUGGGUGAACAAAUUACUGUCGAGCAAUUGAUAGAAAAGCACAUAGUGCUACCUCUUGAGCAUGCGUUGGUUUUCCCUUGAAGAGGAAAGGGUGAUGCAGAAAAGUAGCGUAAGUAUUUCCCUCAGUUUUUUGAGAACCAAGGUAUCAAUCCAGUAGGAGGCCACACGCAAGUCCCUUGUACCUACACAAAAAAAUAAGAACCUUGCAACCAACGCGAUAAAGGGGUUGUCAAUCCCUUCACUGCCACUUGCAAAAGUGAGAUCUGAUAGAGAUGAUAAGAUAAUAUUUUUGGUAUUUUUAUGAUAAAGAUUAAAAGUAAAGAUUGCAAAGUAAAAAUAGAUUGGAAACUUAUAUGAUGGAAAAUAGACCCGGGGGCCAUAGGUUUCACUAGUGGCUUCUCUCAAGAUAGCAUAAGUAUUACGGUGGGUGAACAAAUUACUGUCCAGCAAUUGAUAGAAAAGUGCAUAAUUAUGAGAAUAUCUAGGCAUGAUCAUGUAUAUAGGCAUCACGUCCGCAACAAGUAGACCGACUCCUGCCUGCAUCUACUUCCAUUACUCCACACAUCGACCGCUAUCCAGCAUGCAUCUAGAGUAUUAAGUUCAUAAGAACAGAGUAACACAUUAGGCAAGAUGACAUGAUGUAGAGGGAUAAACUCAAGCAAUAUGAUAUAAACCCCAUCUUUUUAUCCUCGAUGGCAACAAUACAAUACGUGUCAUUUCCCCUUCUGUCACUAGGAUCGACCACCGCAUGAUUGAACCCAAAGCUAAGCACUUCUCCCAUUGCAAGGAAGAUCAAUCUAGUAGACCAAACCAAACUGAUAAUUCGAAGAGACUUCCAAAGAUAACCAAUCAUACAUAAAGAAUUCAGAGAAGAUUCAAAUAUUCUUCAUAGAUAAUCUUGAUCAUAAACCCACAAUUCAUCGGAUCUCGACAAACACACCGCAAAAAGAGUUACAUCGAAUAGAUCUCCAAGAAGAUAGAGGAGAACUUCGUAUUGAGAUCCAAAGAGAGAGAGAGAAGAAGCCAUCUAGCUAAUAACUAUGGACAUGAAGGUCUAUGGUAAACUACUCACACAUCAUCGGAGAGGCUAUGGUGUUGAUGUACAAGCCCUCCGUGAUCGAUGCUGUUGCGACCCGACCUCAAACGGUCAAGUCCCUGUGCUUCUGUGUCAUCCCUGGAUCGGUAAUGCUGACGCACACAGUACUCGAAGGAUUUAUAACAGAGUAGCAAUCACACACUUAUUACAUCGAAUGUCUCAAAAGAGAACUUAUUACAAUGAAUAUGGCUUAAGGCCAUCUAAUACGAUAACAGCGGAAGGCUUGGAAGAUAAAGUGAGUCCAUCAACUCCAACGGCAUAGCUGAGCUGCACGGCAACGACCUAACGAACCUUACUCCUCGUCUGAAAAGUCUGCAACAUAAUAUGUUGCAGCCCGAAAACGGGUCAGCACAUGGAAUAUGCUGGCAAUAUAACACAGUAGAGCAAGAACAGAAUAAUGCUAUCACUACAUGCAUAUUUGGCUGGUGGAAAGGCUCUAUGGUUAUAGUUUUGCGAAAAGCCAAUUUUUUCCUACAACAAAGGAAUAAAUUUUAUUUUAACUAUCAUGGUAGUUGAAACAUCAUUGAGAAGGUUCCUCCAACUCAAUCCCAAUUAAAAAGUAAUUAUCAACCCAACAUAUUAAAUUAGAGUGAUGAGAUACAUGUGAUAAUCCAAGUACUAGAUACUCAAGAUGUCCAUAACCGGGGACACGGCUAACCAUGAUUAGAUUGUACACUCUGCAGAGGUUUGCGCACUUUUCCCCACAAGACUCGAUCGCCUCCGUUGAAUUUCUCGCACUACAUGGUGUUUGAGAAACGGAUGACCGAGACACAGUCUUUCAGAAGCAUGAACUCUAACCCCAGGUAGACAAUACCAACCUACAUCCCUCUACAUCUGCUAGCCUACCACUGGAAGAGGUCAUGCAACUUACUCAACUAUGCUAGAGCCCAUAAUAGCUUGUGGCUGCACACGGAAGUUUUCUAGCAUGAAAUAUCUCAGUUCCCUUUGAGCCUGGGUGGCGGACCUUAGGAUUAUCACACGGGUACUCCGGGAUAUCCUAGGACAACAUUGGAUUCUCCAGGUGCCCGACAAGCAAUCCACCCAGAUGUGUAUUAAAGUUGCCACCUUAAGUUGAACCAUUAAUUAACAAUCUCACAUCUAUCAUGGAUUCACUCACCCAAACCACGUCUACGAGCAUAGCAUAGCAAUAUAAGCAACACGUAGAAGUAACUCCCAAGGGUUUGAUGCAAUAGGUUCUACCUCAUCAACUACUUCCCAAUACCCACAAGUUAAUCACAUCCUAAUCAUGGAGUGUUUGAGGAUUGGAGCUAAUGCAUAAAAACUGGGUAUGAAAAGAGUAUGAUCAAUGUGUUACUUGCCUUCCUGAUGAUCCGCAAAACCUAGAGACUCGUAGUAGCAUGCUUCGCACUCCGGGAAUUCUAUUGCAAACAAACAAUAGCAUACAUAAGCAAUCAAUCACAGAUGCACGGGUAAAACUCAAAUAAGAAGAAUUAACCAAAAAGUUCAACUUAAGAACUCCGGUUUGCAAAAAGAAUCAAAUCAAACGGAGCAACGAAACUCAAACUGCGAAAAAAAACAAGAUCCGAUUACUAAUCUGGACUAAAGUCAAAUUUUACAGUAUCAAAAUCUUGUUCAAGUUGACUAAACAGAAAGAGGGCUUCGAGACGAAGAUCUAGGCGCUUGAAUCGCCUGAUUCCGAUAAACGAGCGAAAAGAUAAACUAAAACGAAAAUCGGAUAAGAAAUCGCGAUUGAAAAUAAUUGCGAAAAACCCGAGAAAAAAAACUGACGAACAGGCUAACGAACGAACGUUCGUUGUCUGUGACUAACGGGCGAAAACCUUUCGUUAAAACGAACGUACGGAUGAACGUCCGCUAAAUAAACUAAACCGAGAAAACCAAUGAACCGAUCUAAAAAAACGUAACUAGGGUUUUUUUUAAAAAACCGACGGUUUUUACCUAAACCAAAAAAAACGGCGAGAUCAGAUCGGAUCGGCGGCGGCGACUCCGGCGGCUUCCGCGGCGGNNNNNNNNNNNNNNNNNNNNNNNNNNNNNNNNNNNNNNNNNNNNNNNNNNNNNNNNNNNNNNNNNNNNNNNNNNNNNNNNNNNNNNNNNNNNNNNNNNNNNNNNNNNNNNNNNNNNNNNNNNNNNNNNNNNNNNNNNNNNNNNNNNNNNNNNNNNNNNNNNNNNNNNNNNNNNNNNNNNNNNNNNNNNNNNNNNNNNNNNNNNNNNNNNNNNNNNNNNNNNNNNNNNNNNNNNNNNNNNNNNNNNNNNNNNNNNNNNNNNNNNNNNNNNNNNNNGGGCGGGGAGGCGGGGCCGACUCGGCCACGGCGAGUGGCGGCGUGGCGGUCGCGGUCUCCGCGAGGGAGACGGCGGCGCGGGGAAGGCUGGGCCAGCUGGGCCUCGGCCCAGUUCGGUCCGGCGGGCUUCUUUUUCUUUCUUUUAAACAGAUUCCGCCGAAAAGAAAUCCUAAUUCUUUUUGAAAAUACCAAAACAAAUUUUCACCGUCUAAAUGGAAUAUUUAGAACAAGGUGAACAUUUUUUUUGGCCUAAAAUGCAAUUUAAAAACAACAUAUUUUUCCUAUGCAAAUAAAAUAGCAAUAAAAUCCGAACAAAAACAAAUAUUUGAUUUUAAUAUUUUUCCUCCAAUAUUCCAUUUAUUUUGAAGUCAUAUUAUCUCCUCUCAUAUAUUUUAAUAUGAAAUAUUUUCGGAGAGAAAAAUAAUUAAAACAAAUAAUCCUCGUUUCAAUAUUUGAUAAAAUUCAAAUAUGAAGACAGGGAAAUCCCCAACUCUCUCCGACGGUCCUUGAGUUGCUUAGAAUUUCGAGGAUCGCGAAACAAAUAUGCAAUAAAAAUAUGAUAUGCAUGAAUGAUCUAUGUAUAACAUUCCAAAUUGAAAAUUUGGGAUGUUACAGAUGCCCCCUCCGGCGGAGCGCCGGAAAAGGCCCCAAGAUGGGAUCUCACGGGUACAGAAGGUUGCGGCGGUAGAAAUAGGGUUUCGUGGUGCUCCUGGAUUUUUUUGGGGUACGUAGGUAUAUAUAGGAGGAAGAAGUAGGUCGGCGGAGCCACGAGGGUGGGGGCGAGCCCAGGGGGGCAGGCGCGCCUCCCUGCCUCGUGGCCUCCUUGUUCGUUUCUUGACGUCCACUCCAAGUCCUCUGGAUCACGUUUGUUCAAAAAUAACUCUCCUGAAGGUUUCAUUCCGUCUGGACUCCGUUUGAUAUUGCUUUUCUGCGAAACACUGAAAUAGGCAAAAAAACAGCAAUUUGCAGUGGGCCUUGGGUUAGUAGGUUAGUCCCAAAAAUAAUAUAAAAGUGUAAAAUAAAGCCCAUUAAACAUCCAAAACAGAAUAUAUAAUAGCAUGGAACAAUAAAAAAUUAUAGAUACGUUGGAGACGUAUCAAGCAUCCCCAAGCUUAAUUCCUACUCGUCCUCGAGUAGGUAAAUGAUAAAAAACAAAAUUUUUGAUGUGGAAUGCUCCCUAGCAUAAUUCUCAAUGUAAUUUUCUUUAUUGUGGCAUGAAUGUUCAGAUCCGAAAGAUUCAAGAUAAAAGUUUAAUAUUGACAUAAAAAUAAUAAUACUUCAAGCAUACUAACAAAGCAAUCAUGUCUUCUCAAAAUAACAUGGCCAAAUAAAGUUAUCCCUACAAAAUCAUAUAGUUUGGCUAUGCUCUAUCUUCACCACACAAAAUAUUUAAAUCAUGCACAACCCCGAUGACAAGCCAAGCAAUUGUUUCAUACUUUUGAUGUUCUCAAACUUUUUCAAUUUUCACGCAAUACAUGAGCGUGAGCCAUGGACAUAGCACUAUAUGUGGAAUAGAACGGUGGUUGUGGAGAAGACAAAAAGGAGAAGAUAGUCUCACAUCGACUAGGCGUAUCAACGGGCUAUGGAGAUGCCCAUUAAUAGAUAUCAAUGUGAGUGAGUAGGGAUUGCCGUGCAACGGAUGCACUAGAGCUAUAAGUGUAUGAAAGCUCAACGAAAGAAACUAAGUGGGUGUGCAUCCAACUCGCUUGCUCACAAAGACCUAGGGAAUUUUGAGGAAGCCCAUCAUUGGAAUAUACAGGCCAAGUUCUAUAAUGUAAAAUUCCCACUAGUAUAUGAAAGUGACAACAUAGGAGAUUCUUUAUCAUGAAGAUCACGGUGCUACUUUGAAGCACAAGUGUGGUAAAAGGAUAGUACCAUUGUCCCUUCUCUCUUUUUCUCUCAUUUUUUUAUUUGGACCUUUUCUCCUUUUUAUGGCCUCUUUUUUUCUUUUCUUUUCUUUUUAUUUUUCAUCCAGAGUCUCAUCCCGACUUGUGGGGUAUCAUAGUCUCCAUCAUCCUUUCCUCACUUGGGACAAUGCUCUAAUAAUGAUGGUCAUCACACUUUUAUUUACUUACAACUCAAAAAUUACAACUCAAUACUUAGAACAAAAUAUGACUCUAUGUGAAUGCCUCCGGCGGUGUACCGGGAUAUGCAAUGAAUCAAGAGUGGCACGUAUGAAAGAAUUAUGAAUGGUGGCUUUGCCACAAAUACGAUGUCAACUACAUGAUCAUGCAAAGCAAUAUGGCAAUGAUGAAGCAUGUCAUAACAAACGGAACGGUGGUAGGUUGCAUGGCAAUAUAUCUCGGAAUGGCUAUGGAAAUGCCAUAAUAGGUAGGUAUGGUAGCUAUUUUGAGGAUGGUAUAUGAUGGGUGUAUGAUACCGGCGAAAGUUGCGCGGUAUUAGAGAGGCUAGCAAUGGUCGAAGGGUGAGUGUGCGUAUAAUCCAUGGACUCAACAUUAGUCAUAAAGAACUCACAUACUUAUUGCAAAAAUCUAUUAGUUAUCGAAACAAAGUACUACGCGCAUGCUCCUAGGGGGAUAGAUUGGUAGAAAAAGACCAUCACUUGUCCCCGACCGCCACUCAUAAGGAAGACAAUCAAUAAAUAAAUCAUGCUCCGACUUUAUCACAUAACGGUUCACCAUACGUGCAUGCUACGGGAAUCACAAACUUUAACACAAGUAUUUCUCAAAUUCACAACUACUCAACUAUCAUGACUUUAAUAUCAUCAUCUUAAUAUCUCAAAACAAUUAUCAAGUAUCAAACUUCUCAUAGUAUUCAAUGCACUUUAUAUGAUAGUUUUUAUUACACCUAUCUUGGAUGCUCAUUACUUUAGGACUAAAAUUUUAACCAAAGCAAAUUACCAUGCUGUUCUAAAAGACUCUCAAAAUAAUAUAAGUGAAGCAUGAGAGAUCAAUUAUUUCUAUAAAAUAAAACCACCGCCGUGCUCUAAAAGAUAUAAGUGAAGCACUAGAGCAAAAUUUUCUAGCUCAAAAGAUAUAAGUGAAGCACAUAGAGUAUUCUAACAAAUUCCGAUUAAUGUGUGUAUCUCCCAAAAGGUGUGUACAGCAAGGAUGAUUGUGGUAAACUAAAAAGCAAGACUCAAAUCAUACAAGACGCUCCAAGCAAAACACAUAUCAUGUGGUGAAUAAAAAUAUAGCUCCAAGUAAAGUUACCGAUGGACGAAGACAAAAGAGGGCAUGCCUUCCGGGGCAUCCCCAAGCUUAGACUUUUGGUUGUCCUUGAAUUUUACCUUGGGGGUGCCUUGGGAAUACCAAAUCUUAGGCUCUUGCCACUCCUUGUUCCAUAAUUCAUCAAAUCUUUACCCAAAACUUGAAAACUUCACAACACAAAACUUAACAGAAAAUCUCAUGAGCUCCGUUAGCGAAAGAAAACAAAACACCACUUCAAGGUACUGUAAUGAACUCAUUCUUUAUUUAUAUUGGUGUUAAACCUACUGUAUUCCAACUUAUAUAUGGUUCAUAACCUCCGAUACUAGCCAUAGAUUCAUCAAAAUAAGCAAACAACACACGAAAAACAGAAUCUGUCAAAAACAGAACAGUCUGUAGUAAUAUAUAUCUAACGCAAACUUCUGUAACUCAGAAAAAUCUACCAAAAUAGGACGACCUAUAUAAUUUGUUUAUUUAUCUACUUCAAUUGGAAUCAGUAUUUUAUCACGUUCUGGUGAAUUUUAACAAUUGUUUUCGUGAGAAGAAAGUUUCUGACUUUUUCAGCAAGAUCAAAUAACUAUCAUCCAAGAAGAUCCUAUAGGUUCUACUUGGCACAAACACUAAUUAAAACAUAAAACAACAUCUAACCAGAGGCUAGAUCAAAUAUUUAUUACUAAACAGAACCAAAAAGCAAGAAACAAAAAUAAAAUUGGGUUGCCUCCCAACAAGCGCUAUCGUUUAACGCCCUAGCUAGGUAUAAAGACAAGGAUAGAUCUAGGUAUUAUCAUCUUUGGCAUGCAAUCCAUAAGUAGCUCUCAUAAUAGAUUCAUAAGGUAAUUUAAUUUUCUUUCUAGGAAAGUGUUCCAUGUCUUUCCUUAAGGGAAAUUGGAAUCUAAUAUUCCCUUCUUUCAUGUCAAUAAUUGCACCAAUCGUUCUAAGGAAAUGUCUAACAAGAAUAAUAGGACAUGAAGGAUUGAAAACUAUAUCAAGAACAAUGAAAUCUACGGGCACAUAAUUCCUAUUGUGAACAAUAAUAACAUCAUUAAUUCUUUCCGUAGGUUUCUUAAUGGUGGAAUCCGCAAGAUGCAUGUUUAAAGAACAAUCAUAAAAUUCACGGAAACCUAACAUAUCACACAAAGUUUUCGGAAUCGUGAAAACACUAGCACCCAAAUCACACAAAGCAUAGCAUUCAUGUUCUUUAAUUUUAAUUUUAAUAGUAGGUUCCCACUCAUCAUAAAGUUUUCUAGGGAUAGAAACUUCCAAUUCAAGCUUUUCUUCAUAAGAUUGCAUUAAGGCAUCAAUGAUAUGUGGUAAAAGCCUUAUUUUGACUAUAAGCAUGCGGAGAAUUUAACAUGGAUUGCAACAAGGAAAUACAAUCUAUUAAAGAACAAUUAUCAUAAUUAAAUUCCUUAAAAUCCAAAAUAGUGGGUUCAUUGCUAUGUAAAGUUUUGACCUCUUCAAUCCCACUUUUACCAAUUUUUGCAUCAAGAUCUAAAAACUCCGAAUCAUUGGGACGCCUUUUAACUAAAGUUGACUCAUCUCCAGUCCCAUCAUUAUUAAGAUCCAUAUUGCAAAACAAAGAUUUAAUAGGGGAUACAUCAAUCACUUUUAGAUCUUCAUCCUUAUUAUCAUGAAAACUAGAAGAACACACUUUCACAAAGCAAUCUUUCUUAGCACGCAUCCUAGCGGUUCUUUCUUUGCACUUAUUCCAUGAAUCAAUACUAUUUUUAGGCAAAGACGAAAACCAAGUUUAGCACGAUCUCUAAGCGAAAACGGAAAUAGCUUCAAUUUAACAAUAUCAUUGUCCACAUCUUUCUUCUUUUGCAUAUCGCACAAAUCAACAAAGCUACUUAGAUGGAAGGCCAGAGAAUUGAUCUUUCAUGACAAGAUUCAACAAAGCAGCAUUAAUUUCACAAGAUUCAGCAUCGGUAAUAGGAGCAAUCGGAGUGCUAAGAAAAUAAUUGUUGUUGCUAUUGGAGAAGUCACACAAUUUAGUAUUGUCUUGAGCCAUCGUGACAAACAAUCCAACACACAAGCACACAAGAAACAAGCGAAAAGCGACGAAAGGAAAAAGAGGGCGAAUAAAACAGCAAAGCUGAAGUGGGGGAGAGGAAAAUGAGAGGCAAAUGGCAAAUAAUGUAAUGUGAGGGAUAAGAGUUUGUGAUGGGUACUUGGUAUGUCUUGACUUGUGCGUAGAUCUCCCCGGCAACGGCGCCAGAAUCCUUCUUGCUACCUCUUGAGCAUGUGUUGGUUUUCCCUUGAAGAGGAAAGGGUGAUGCAGCAAAGUAGCGUAAGUAUUUCCCUCGGUUUUUGAGAACCAAGGUAUCAAUCCAGUAGGAGGCCACACAAAAGUCCCUCGUACCUACACAAACAAAUAAGAACCUUGCAACCAACGCGAUAAAGGGGUUGUCAAUCCCUUCACUGCCACUUGCAAAAGUGAGAUCUGAUAGAGAUGAUAAGAUAAUAUUUUUGGUUUUUAUGAUAAAGAUUAAAAGAAAAGAUUGCAAAGUAAAAAUAGAUUGGAAACUUAUAUAUGGAAAAUAGACCCGGGGGCUAUAGGUUUCACUAGUGGCUUCUCUCAAGAUAGCAUAAGUAUUACGGUGGGUGAACAAAUUACUCUCGAGCAAUUGAUAGAAAAGUGCAUAAUUAUAAGAAUAUCUAGGCACGAUCAUGUAUAUAGGCAUCAUGUCCGCAACAAGUUGACCGACUCCUGCCUGUAUCUACUACUAUUACUCCACACAUCGACCGCUAUCCAGCAUGCAGCUAGAGUAUUAAGUUCAUAAAAACAGAGUAACACAUUAGGCAAGAUGACAUGAUGUAGAGGGAUAAACUCAAGCAAUAUGAUAUAAACCCCAUCUUUUUAUCCUCGAUGGCAACAAUACAAUACGUGUCGUUUCCCCUUCUGUAACUAGGAUCGAGCACCGCAUGAUUGAACCCAAAGCUAAGCACUUCUCCCAUUGCAAGAAAGAUCAAUCUAGUAGCCCAAACCAAACUGAUAAUUCGAAGAGACUUGCAAAGAUAACCAAUCAUACAUAAAGAAUUCAGAGAAGAUUCAAAUAUUCUUCAUAGAUAAUCUUGAUCAUAAACCCACAAUUCAUCGGAUCUCGAUAAACACACCACAAAAAGAGUUACAUCGAAUAGAUCUCCAAGAAGAUCGAGGAGAACUUUGUAUUGAGAUCCAAAGAGAGAGAAGAAGCCAUCUAGCUAAUAACUAUGGACCCGAAGGUCUGUGGGAAACUACUCACACAUCAUCGGAGAGGCUAUGGUGUUGAUGUAGAAGCUCUCCGUGAUCGAUGCCCCCUCCGGCGGAGCGCCGGAAAAGGCCCCAAGAUGGGAUCUCACGGGUACAGAAGGUUGCGGCGGUGGAAAUAGGGUUUCGUCGUGCUCCUGGAUGUUUUCGGGGCACGUAGGUAUAUAUAGGAGGAAGAAGUAGGUCGGUGGAGCCACGAGGGGCCCACGAGGGUGGGGUGCGCCCAGGGGGGCAGGCGUGCCUCCCUGCCUCGUGGCCUCCUCGUUCGUUUCUUGACGUCCACUCCAAGUCCUCUGGAUCACGUUUGUUUCAAAAAUAACUCUCCCGGAGGUUUCAUUCCGUUUGGACUACGUUUGAUAUUCCUUUUCUGCUAAACACUGAAAUAGGCAAAAAAACAGCAAUCUGCACUGGACCUUGGGUUAGUAGGUUAGUCCGAAAAAUAAUAUAAAAGUGUAAAAUAAAGCCCAUUAAACAUCUAAAACAGAAUAUAUAAUAGCAUGGAACAAUUAAAAAUUAUAGAUACGUUGGAGACGUAUCACAUAGUUAUGAGAAUAUCUAGGCAUGAUCAUGUAUAUAUGCAUCACGUCCGUGACAAGUAGACCGAAACGAUUAUGCAUUUACUACUAUUACUCCACACAUUGACCGCUAUCCAGCAUGCAUCUAGAGUAUUAAGUUCAUAAGGACAGAGUAACGCAUUAGGCAAGAUGACAUGAUGUAGAGGGAUAAACUCAAGCAAUAUGAUAUAAACCCCAUCCUUUUAUCCUCGGUGGCAACAAUACAAUACGUGCCUUGCUGCCCCUGCUGUCACUGGGAAAGGACACCGCAAGAUUGAACCCAAAGCUAAGCACUUCUCCCGUUGCAAAAAAGAUCAAUCUAGUAGGCCAAACUAAACUGAUAAUUCGAAGAGACUUGCAAAGAUAUCAAAUCAUGCAUAUAAGAAUUCAGAGAAGAAUCAAAUAUUGUUCAUAGAUAAUCUUGAUCAUAAACCCACAAUUCAUCGGAUCUCGACAAACACACUGCAAAAAGAGUUACAUCGAAUAGAUCUCCAAGAGAAUCAAGGAGAACUUUGUAUUGAGAUCCAAAGAGAGAGAAGAAGCCAUCUAGCUAAUAACUAUGGACCCGAAGGUCUGUGGUAAAUUACUCACACAUCAUCGGAGAGGCCAUGGUGUUGAUGUAGAGGCCCUCCGUGAUCGAUUCCCCCUUCGGCGGAGCGCCGGAGAAGGCCCCAAGAUGGGAUCUCACGGGUACAGAAGGUUGCGGCGGUGGAAAAAAGUGUUUCGUGGCUCCCCUGGAUGUUUUCAGGGUAUAAGAGUAUAUAUAGGCAAAGGAAGUANNNNNNNNNNNNNNNNNNNNNNNNNNNNNNNNNNNNNNNNNNNNNNNNNNNNNNNNNNNNNNNNNNNNNNNNNNNNNNNNNNNNNNNNNNNNNNNNNNNNNNNNNNNNNNNNNNNNNNNNNNNNNNNNNNNNNNNNNNNNNNNNNNNNNNNNNNNNNNNNNNNNNNNNNNNNNNNNNNNNNNNNNNNNNNNNNNNNNNNNNNNNNNNNNNNNNNNNNNNNNNNNNNNNNNNNNNNNNNNNNNNNNNNNNNNNNNNNNNNNNNNNNNNNNNNNNNNNNNNNNNNNNNNNNNNNNNNNNNNNNNNNNNNNNNNNACACUGAAAUAGGAAAAAAAAAACUGCAAUUUGCACUGGGCUUUCGGUUAAUAGGUUAGUCUCAAAAAUAAUAUAAAAAGGUAUAUUAAAGCCCAUUAAACAUUCAAAAAAGAUAAUAUAAUAGCAUGAAACAAUCAAAAAUUAUUGAUACGUUGGAGACGUAUCAAGGUGCAUGUCCACACUGAAAUUUGAGGGGAGGGAGGGGGUGGGGUUGAUUAGUGAGAAGGAACUUUCAUAGGGUACGUAAGAGAGCUUCGUAGGUGUGCCAUUUUUUUGUUAGGUACUCCCUCCUGUAAGAGCGUCUAGAUCACUAAAAUAGUGAUCUAGACGCUCUUCUAUUUAUUUACAGAGGGAGUAGAAGGCAAGAAAGGCGUCACAAGUUGUGAUGAUUGCGUGGUUAUUCGCCAAGGUCUCUAUCUAUCACGGUUUUUCCGGCAAACUCAAUAAAUUACUGUUGUUUGGCUGUUUUUGUAUUUAUAUGCACUUUAGACUGUACAUUCUUUUUUAAAAUAUUUUUUUGGCGAUCUGAAAAGAGUUUCAUUCCAACAUUAGAGUUACAAUCGAGAGGCAAAAGAUCCUCUAUACAUGGUGGUGUGCUACGUAGCCAUACAACAGUACUACUUUCUACUCGACUAUACGACGCCAACCGAUUUGCCGUCCUAUUUUGUUCACGCUUGAUUUUCAUGUAAUAAACUCUCUCCCUUACAUAAAAAAACUUUAUCUCUACCACCAAAUGACCAUAUGCCGAUCUCCAGAGGCCUUCCACCGACAAAGCUAACAAGCAAUCAUGAAAUGGAUCACUUGGUAGUAUUUGGCUGUUCCUGAUAAAUUCGUUCACUGUAGAUUGUACGGUGGUUGUUGACUUGUUGUCAUGCUGUGCGGUUUCAAAUGCCAAUCAUGCUAUACUGUGCGGCUGUGCCAGGAACAGAAAUAUCACGUAGCCUAUCCCCAAGCCACACGCUCAGGAAAAGAAAUCUAGCACGAUCAAGCAGCACCAGGGGGGGAGGAUGUUCCGAGCAGUGAAGCAUGUCGUCGUCGGGGCGACGGCGAAGAACAGCCGAGCAGAGCCAGCCUUGUCGGCCUUCGCGAGCCACUUCUCCGCGGCCUCCACCGCGCAGAGGUUCGCGUGCCCUCCCGUCAAACUCGACUCGAUCUUGCCUUGUGCUUGUUUUGCCGAGCUCAUGAAUCACAGAGGAACGAUCCGAUGUUUCUAGGUUGGUCAGGAAGGUGGCCAUGAUCACCGGCGGCGCCAGCGGGAUCGGCAAGGCGACGGCCGCGGAGUUCGUCAGGAACGGCGCCAAGGUCGUCCUCGCCGACGUCCAGGACGACCUGGGCCGCGCCGUGGUAGCCGAGCUCGGCGCGGACGCGGCGCGCUACACGCGCUGCGACGUGGCCGACGAGGCGCAGGUUGCCGCGGCCGUGGACCUGGCCGUCGCGCGGCACGGCCGCCUCGACGUCAUGUUCAACAACGCCGGCAUCAGCGGCGCCCUGACGCCCGUCCCUCUCGCCUCCCUGGACAUCGCGGACUUCGACCGCGUCAUGGCGGUCAACGCGCGGGCCAUGCUCGCCGGCGUGAAGCACGCGGCCCGCGUCAUGACGCCGCGCCGCAGAGGCAGCAUCAUCUGCACGGCCAGCACCGCGGGAGUGCUGGGCAGCGUGGCGCCGCACCCGUACAGCGUGUCCAAGGCCGCGGUGCUGGGGCUGGUGCGCGCCGUGGCAGGGGAGAUGGCGCGCUCCGGGGUGCGCGUGAACGCCAUCUCGCCCAGCUACAUCCCGACGCCGCUGGUGAUGCGCACCAUGGAGGAGUGGUACCCGAAGGCGACUUCCGAGGAGCGUCGGCGGAUCGUGGAGCAGGACGUCAACGAGAUGGAAGGGACGGUGCUGGAGGCGGAGGACGUGGCCAGGGCGGCGCUGUACCUGGCGUCCGACGAGGCCAAGUACGUGAACGGGCACAACCUCGUCGUCGACGGCGGGUACACGGUCGGAAAGCCGCCCAACAU
rnacentral:lncRNA from 1 species